rnacentral:snRNA from 1 species
AUGCUUUGUAGUACAUAUACUAAAAUUGGAAUGUUACAGAGAAGAUUAGCAUGGGAUGAUGGCCCCUGCGCAACUCUAUGCAAUGAUUAUUAUAAUUAAAUGAAGUCAAUUCCC